rnacentral:rRNA from 1 species
GCCAGAGCCUUAUCACCAUGCAGCUCUCCACUGAAGCUAAGCAGGGUUGAGCCUGACCAGUACCUGGAUGGGAGACUACCUGGGCAAAACUAAGGUUGUUGCUGGAA